ACAUGCAAGUCGUACGCUUCUUUUUCCACCGGAGCUUGCUCCACCGGAAAAAGAAGAGUGGCGAACGGGUGAGUAACACGUGGGUAACCUGCCCAUCAGAAGGGGAUAACACUUGGAAACAGGUGCUAAUACCGUAUAACAAUCGAAACCGCAUGGUUUUGAUUUGAAAGGCGCUUUCGGGUGUCGCUGAUGGAUGGACCCGCGGUGCAUUAGCUAGUUGGUGAGGUAACGGCUCACCAAGGCCACGAUGCAUAGCCGACCUGAGAGGGUGAUCGGCCACAUUGGGACUGAGACACGGCCCAAACUCCUACGGGAGGCAGCAGUAGGGAAUCUUCGGCAAUGGACGAAAGUCUGACCGAGCAACGCCGCGUGAGUGAAGAAGGUUUUCGGAUCGUAAAACUCUGUUGUUAGAGAAGAACAAGGAUGAGAGUAACUGUUCAUCCCUUGACGGUAUCUAACCAGAAAGCCACGGCUAACUACGUGCCAGCAGCCGCGGUAAUACGUAGGUGGCAAGCGUUGUCCGGAUUUAUUGGGCGUAAAGCGAGCGCAGGCGGUUUCUUAAGUCUGAUGUGAAAGCCCCCGGCUCAACCGGGGAGGGUCAUUGGAAACUGGGAGACUUGAGUGCAGAAGAGGAGAGUGGAAUUCCAUGUGUAGCGGUGAAAUGCGUAGAUAUAUGGAGGAACACCAGUGGCGAAGGCGGCUCUCUGGUCUGUAACUGACGCUGAGGCUCGAAAGCGUGGGGAGCAAACAGGAUUAGAUACCCUGGUAGUCCACGCCGUAAACGAUGAGUGCUAAGUGUUGGAGGGUUUCCGCCCUUCAGUGCUGCAGCUAACGCAUUAAGCACUCCGCCUGGGGAGUACGACCGCAAGGUUGAAACUCAAAGGAAUUGACGGGGGCCCGCACAAGCGGUGGAGCAUGUGGUUUAAUUCGAAGCAACGCGAAGAACCUUACCAGGUCUUGACAUCCUUUGACCACUCUAGAGAUAGAGCUUCCCCUUCGGGGGCAAAGUGACAGGUGGUGCAUGGUUGUCGUCAGCUCGUGUCGUGAGAUGUUGGGUUAAGUCCCGCAACGAGCGCAACCCUUAUUGUUAGUUGCCAUCA
rnacentral:rRNA from 1 species